UUGCAGAGGACUUUUGAGAUACCAGAUGAUCGUAGACGCUACAUACUUAGUUUGGCCGGCAAAAGAUAUAGAGGGUGGAAAGCUUUUUUGACAAACACCUAUCUUAAGGAUAAAGAUGGAAACUUUCUUGAAGAGGCACCGGGACGGCCAAAAAAGUAUGAGAUCUUCAUUGAUGAAAAAGAUUAGGCUGAGUUUGUAAAGCAAAGAGAUGAAGAUUUUCGGAAAAGGAGUGCCACGAAUAGUGCGAGAGCAUCCAAACCCGCGUAUCCAUACAAAAAAGGGCGUUUGGGAUAUGCACGCUUAGAGGAUAAAAUUGUAAAGGAGACUAAAAGUGAGGAAACUUCACUUCCUGUACAUGUGUUGUGGAAGGAAGCUCGUGUGGGCAAGAAUCAAGCUGUCGAUCCCGAUGUUCAGAGAGUUUAUACUGAAUGUGAGACCUUGUCGCAAUCGGUAUCCACCGGUGAGGGGAGCGUACUUAGUAGAGCACUAGAUGCUCCUGAGUAUCCCGGUCGGGUGAGGGGUAAGGGUCAUGGUGUGACUCCAACCUCUUUUUACAAGAGUCCUAGGAGAAGAUCAAAUCUUACCAAUGAAGAAGUGUUGCAAAAGUUGCAGGAAUUGCAAGCACAAGUCUCUGAAUUGCAAAGAGAUAAAGAUAUGUAUAUGAGAGAAAAGUGCAACACUUCAUCGGUGAAAGAAACUAGUGAUAAGGCUAGUAUCAACUGUCAAAGGAAAUUU